rnacentral:rRNA from 1 species
UUGGGGUGUGACUGCGUACCUUUUGUAUAAUGGGUCAGCGACUUAUAUUCUGUAGCAAGGUUAACCGUAUAGGGGAGCCGGAGGGAAACCGAGUCUUAACCGGGCGUUAAGUUGCAGGGUAUAGACCCGAAACCCGGUGAUCUAGCCAUGGGCAGGUUGAAGGUUGGGUAACACUAACUGGAGGACCGAACCGACUAAUGUUGAAAAAUUAGCGGAUGACCUGUGGCUGGGGGUGAAAGGCCAAUCAAACCGGGAGAUAGCUGGUUCUCCCCGAAAGCUAUUUAGGUAGCGCCUCGUGAAUUCAUCUCCGGGGGUAGAGCACUGUUUCGGCUAGGGGGCCAUCCCGGCUUACCAACCCGAUGCAAACUGCGAAUACCGGAGAAUGUUAUCACGGGAGACACACGGCGGGUGCUAACGUCCGUCGUGAAGAGGGAAACAACCCAGACCGCCAGCUAAGGUCCCAAAGUCAUGGUUAAGUGGGAAACGAUGUGGGAAGGCCCAGACAGCCAGGAUGUUGGCUUAGAAGCAGCCAUCAUUUAAAGAAAGCGUAAUAGCUCACUGGUCGAGUCGGCCUGCGCGGAAGAUGUAACGGGGCUAAACCAUGCACCGAAGCUGCGGCAGCGACGCUGAUGCGUUGUUGGGUAGGGGAGCGUUCUGUAAGCCUGCGAAGGUGGCCUGUGAGGGUUGCUGGAGGUAUCAGAAGUGCGAAUGCUGACAUAAGUAACGAUAAAGCGGGUGAAAAGCCCGCUCGCCGGAAGACCAAGGGUUCCUGUCCAACGUUAAUCGGGGCAGGGUGAGUCGACCCCUAAGGCGAGGCCGAAAGGCGUAGUCGAUGGGAAACGGGUUAAUAUUCCCGUACUUGGUGUUACUGCGAAGGGGGGACGGAGAAGGCUAUGUUGGCCGGGCGACGGUU